AAUAUAAUAUAAUAUAAUAUAAUAUACCCCGUGGAUAUUCGUCCGACACCGGAUCUUCCUGCUUCACGGCUAUUCAUCCGACAACGCUUUAAAAGCUAACACUAAACCACUAAAAGGGUUGCGUUGUUUCUUAAGAACGAAGCAACAACAUAUUCGAUACGCUAUACGUUAGGAAGAAAAAAAAAAGUAUUAAAAAAAAAUAAUAAAAUAGUGGCGCGAGCAGGGAUCGAUCCCAGAACUUGGCGCACACAAUACGGGUGCCUAAACCACUACACUACGAAGG